rnacentral:rRNA from 1 species
UAAAGCGCGCGUAGGCGGUUUGUUAAGUCGGAUGUGAAAUCCCCGGGCUCAACCUGGGAAUUGCCUUCGAUACUGGCCGACUAGAGUACGAGAGAGGGAGGUAGAAUUCCACGUGUAGCGGUGAAAUGCGUAGAUAUGUGGAGGAAUACCGGUGGCGAAGGCGGCCUCCUGGCUCGAUACUGACGCUGAGGUGCGAAAGCGUGGGUAGCAAACAGGAUUAGAUACCCUGGUAGUCCACGCCGUAAACGAUGUCUACUAGCCGUUGGGAGACUUGAUUUCUUAGUGGCGCAGCUAACGCACUAAGUAGACCGCCUGGGGAGUACGGCCGCAAGGUUAAAACUCAAAUGAAUUGACGGGGGCCCGCACAAGCGGUGGAGCAUGUGGUUUAAUUCGAUGCAACGCGAAGAACCUUACCAGGUCUUGACAUCCUCGGAACUUUCCAGAGAUGGAUUGGUGCCUUCGGGAACCGAGAGACAGGUGCUGCAUGGCUGUCGUCAGCUCGUGUCGUGAGAUGUUGGGUUAAGUCCCGUAACGAGCGCAACCCUUGUCCUUAGUUGCCAGC